GGGAUCGCGGGGCUUCAUGCGGUGAGAGCCGUUACCUUGCCGGCUUGGGUGGCGGCCGUCAAGCACGGGCAGACGAAUCCAUGACCUACUGGAUCUCCACAGGAGUCUUGACGUCUGAUGAAUAGCUAAACCUCACUCUGUGAACUUAGUUGGAGGGCUGUGGCUUUACAAUUGUUCUUUCUAACAGGACAUUGUAGUCAGUAACAGCAUCACUAACACAGAUCAGUUUCUAGAUGCCAUUCAAAGGACAUGGAUCCUCUCACUCAAUCCUACAGUAAUCUACAAGAAAAAAGAAAGGAAGGAAAGAAGGAAGAAAUAAAGGAAGAAGGAAGGAAAGGAAUACCAAAGGGGACCACCUGGAACUGAAACAAGACAGGACUAGAACGACUACAAGAACCCACCAAAUCACCAGUGAGUGCAAACACAUGUGGCUGGUGACAGAGAGGAGCCUAGGGAGAGACUAAGUGGCUGGUAACAGUCCGGCGGUUUAUCA